UACGUAGGUGACAAGCGUUGUCCGGAUUUACUGGGCGUAAAGAGCGCGCAGGCGGUCGUUCAAGUCGAGUGUGAAAGCCCCCGGCUCAACUGGGGAGGGUCAUUCGAUACUGAUCGACUCGAAGGCAGGAGAGGAAUGCGGAAUUCCAGGUGUAGCGGUGAAAUGCGUAGAUAUCUGGAGGAACACCGGUGGCGAAGGCGGCAUUCUGGACCGAUAUUGACGCUGAGGAGCGAAAGCCAGGGGAGCAAACGGG
rnacentral:rRNA from 1 species